rnacentral:rRNA from 1 species
CGGAGGAUCAUUAUUGAAAUAAACCUGAUGGGUUGUUGCUGGUUCUCUAGGGAGCAUGUGCACACCUUGUCAUCUUUAUAUCUCCACCUGUGCACUUUUUGUAGACCUUUCAGGUCUAUGUUGCUUCAUUUACCCCAAUGUAUGUUAAUAGAAUGUUGUGACUAUAUAAUAUAUACAACUUUCAGCAACGGAUCUCUUGGCUCUCGCAUCGAUGAAGAACGCAGCGAAAUGCGAUAAGUAAUGUGAAUUGCAGAAUUCAGUGAAUCAUCGAAUCUUUGAACGCACCUUGCGCUCCUUGGUAUUCCGAGGAGCAUGCCUGUUUGAGUGUCAUUAAUAUAUCAACUUCUCUUAUUUGAGUUGUUUGGAUGUGGGGGUUUGCUGGACUCUUAAAUGAUUCAGCUCCCCUAAAAUGCAUUAGCAGAACAACCUGUUCAUUGGCGUGAUAAUUAUCUAUGCUAUUGAAUGUGAGGGCAGUUCAGCUUUCUAAUCGUCCUUGGACAAUUUAUCAUUAAUGUGACCUCAAAUCAGGUAGGACUACCCGCUGAACUUAAGCAUAUCAAUA